GACGAACGCUGGCGGCGUGCUUAACACAUGCAAGUCGAACGGAAAGGCCCUGCUUGCAGGGUACUCGAGUGGCGAACGGGUGAGUAACACGUGGGUGAUCUGCCCUGCACUUCGGGAUAAGCCUGGGAAACUGGGUCUAAUACCGGAUAUGACCUUCCAUGUAGUGUGGGGGGUGGAAAGAUUUAUCGGUGUGGGAUGAGCCCGCGGCCUAUCAGCUUGUUGGUGGGGUAAUGGCCUACCAAGGCGUCGACGGGUAGCCGGCCUGAGAGGGUGGACGGCCCCAUUGGGACUGAGAUACGGCCCAGACUCCUACGGGAGGCAGCAGUGGGGAAUAUUGCACAAUGGGCGGAAGCCUUAUGCAGCGCCGCCGCGUGGGGAUGACGGCCUUCGGGUUGUAAACCUCUUUCGACAGGGACGAAGCUUCGGUGACGGUACCUGUAUAAGAAGCACCGGCUAACUACGUG
rnacentral:rRNA from 1 species